AACUUUGUGAAAUGACUUGAGAGGUGUAGAAUAAGUGGGAGUCGUUUUCGGCGCAAGUGAAAUACCACUACUUUUAACGUUAUUUUACUUAUUCCAUGGGGCGGAGACAGGAACUUGCCCCUAUUUUUGGACAUAAGACAACUUUUGGCGGGUCGAUUUGGGCGAAGACAUUGUCAAGUGGGGAGUUUGGAUGGGGUGGCACAUCUAUUAAAAGAUAACACAUGUUUCCUCAAAGUGUUAUCAUUGAUGGAAAUGGUUGAUAGUUCAUUAUUCACGCACUUGAUGUCAUUGAU
rnacentral:ncRNA from 1 species